GAGGCGCGGUGCUGACGGUGGCUGGGCUGCCGGGUGCGCUGUGGAACCGCCUCCUGCUAGAGCAGCGGGCUGGCGACGGUCCUCGCCGGGGCGGGAAGCGGCUCAGGCUGCCCUCGCUGGCCUGCGGCGGCGCGGCUGGAAGCGCGGGCCACUCGUGCGUGGGUCACUCAGGACUGCGCCUCGCGCGACUGUGUGUGCAGGAAACAAGCAGGAAAUACCCUAAAAGAGAAUGAAGCGCCAUGUUGAGGGUCGCGGACGUCGCGAGUGCUGUGGGAAUGUGGGCUGAGGUGGAGAGUUAUGGUAGCCCGUGUUACAGGCUCAGGGGUCUGAAAGAAGCCUAAUCGUGGAGGCGGCAUCUGAGGAGGGUCUUGAAGGCUGGGCAGGCAUUUGCCCGACAGAGAUGGAGGAAGCUAGUCCUGUCUGAUGGAGGAAACAGGGCGGAGGCGUGGAGGGAGCCGUGCAGCGCUGGUGUGAGGAGCAGCGAGCAGGCCAGGCCUGUAAAGCAGAGUGAGGGAACCAGGAUAGAGAAGGCUGUACAGGAAGCAUGGUGAUGGCAUCUGCAUGGCGCCUGUGGAGGCCCCAGGGAGCUUUUACUCAUGAUGGAAGGCACAGAGGGAGUAGGCACAUCACAUGGUCCGAGGAGGAGCAAGAGAAAAUGGGAGUGGGGGUAAGUACCACACACCCUUACACAACCAGAUCUUGAAAGAAUUCACUAUCACAAGGACGGCAUCAGGCCAUGAGAGAUCCAUCCCCAUGACCCUACCAGGCCCCACCUCCAACACUGAGGAUUACAUUUCAUCAUGAGAUUUAUAGGGGCCACCUUCCAAACCAUUUCAUACACCACGGAAUACUAUGCAGCCAUAAAAAUAACAAAAUCAUGUCCUUUGAAACAACAUGGAUGCAGCCGGAGGCCAUUAUCCUAAGUGAAUUAAUGCAGGAACAUAAAACAAAAUACCACAUGAUCCCACUUAUAAGUGGGAGCUAAACACUGGGUACUCAUGGACAUAAAGAUGGAAAGAAUAAACACCGGGACUACUAGAGGGGAGAAGGAGGAAGGCAAGGUUUGAAAAACUACCUAUUGGGUAUUAUGCUCAUGUAUUAAUCUGUUCUCACACUGCUGUAGAGAACUACCUGAGACUGGGUAAUUUAUAAAGAAAAGAGGUUUAACUGACUCACAAUUCCACAGGCUGUACAGGAAGCAUGGCUGGGAGGCUUCAGGAAACUUAUAAUCAUGGCAGAUGGUGAAGGGGGAAGCAAGGCACGUUCUACCAUGGCGGAAGGAGAGCAAGUGAGCCAGGGGGGAUUUGCCAUAUGUUUAAACCAUCAGAUGUCAUGAGAACUCACUUACCAUCUAAGAACAACAAGGGGGAAAUCUGCCCUCAUGAGCUAAUCACCUCCCACCAUGUCAUUCCCCCUACAUUGGGAAUUACAAUUCAACAUGAGAUUUGGGUGGGGACACAGAGUCAAAUCAUACCAAAUCAGCAUCUGGAUGAUGGGAUCAUUCAUACCCCAAAACUCAGCAUUAUGAGAUAUACCCAUGUAACAAACUGGCA
ensembl:lncRNA FRG1-DT FRG1 divergent transcript